rnacentral:rRNA from 1 species
UACAGAGGGGGCAAGCGUUGUUCGGAAUUACUGGGCGUAAAGGGCGCGUAGGUGGCCUUCUAAGUUGAACGUGAAAUCCCUGGGCUCAACCCAGGAACUGCGUCCAAGACUGGGAGGCUUGAAUCCGGGAGAGGGAUGCGGAAUUCCAGGUGUAGCGGUGAAAUGCGUAGAUAUCUUGAGGAACACCGGUGGCGAAGGCGGCAUCCUGGACCGGUAUUGACACUGAGGCGCGAAAGCCAGGGGAGCAAACGGG